UAUGAUUUUCUCCAUGACCAUCAGGACUGCUCUUCUUCGUCUCCCCCUCCCUCUCUUCCUGCAACUCUCACCUGCUGUCUCUAUCUUUCUUCUAUCCAAGCGCCACUUGGCACUCCACUCACAGUUCCAAUAGCACCACUGGCCAACCUGGGAGAUGGUCCUGCAGGGCUGAUGAGAUGGGUGCCUAGAGUAGCCUGCAUGCCUUGCCUGGCCUCCCAGAUGGGCAUGUGUGCUCCUAGCCACUCCAAGCCAUGGGUGAGAGGUGCGGUUUUGGUGGCCCCCUGAGCCUGCACUUUUUGGUGGGAGGUAAGGUUGUAUAGGUGUCCCUGAUUUUGAGUUCAGUAACAUGGUCUAAUUAUGUGCAUCCACACACCAUAUAGAUGAAUGCUUCCCUUCAGACUAGAGCUGUCUCCAACCAAUUCACUCACAAGCACAAGCAUGCUCCAUAGGCAGGCUAGUAGCUACUGGCCGAACAUUAACCAGAACUAAACAACAAAGCAUAAUAUAUUUGAAAAGUACAAUGAAAAGGCAUGUGCCAAAUCCUCCCCAUAUCAAAGUUAAAUAGCAUUUAUGUUUUUCCUACAUUCUUGAGAGGGCCAGAGGGGCUGUAAGCGCAAGUGCACACCCACCCCAACAGGGGAAGGGAAAUUCUCCAGCUGCAAGAGCCAACCUCUUGGGACCACUCAGGAGGUACUUGUGGCUGGGGAAAGCCUCACACAGCUCCCUCUCUCCUGUUGCAGGCAGUGCUCCAGGGCCUGAGAGUUCAAAUAACGACAGUGAGAAAUUGCCAUGAUUUGAUCCUGUCCCCUGGAGAGUCCCAAAGCUGUUGUCUAUGUCUUAGGGAGAUGUUGGCAGCCCCCUGGUGUGUGAAGAAGCCCUCCAAGGACUGCUGUCCUGGAAGAAAAGCUGCAGUGAAGAGAACCGGCUGGGGCUGUACACCAAGGUCUGCAUCUUUGAAGACUGGAUCCACUACACAAUUGCCAACAACUGAAGAGCAAUAAAGCCAGAUUGAGCUCUGA